rnacentral:piRNA from 1 species
UGGUACUCAAUGUUUUUCCCCCUGCA